rnacentral:rRNA from 1 species
GGGGGGGGCGUGCUAUACAUGCAGUCGAGCGGACAGAUGGGAGCUUGCUCCCUGAUGUUAGCGGCGGACGGGUGAGUAACACGUGGGUAACCUGCCUGUAAGACUGGGAUAACUCCGGGAAACCGGGGCUAAUACCGGAUGGUUGUCUGAACCGCAUGGUUCAGACAUAAAAGGUGGCUUCGGCUACCACUUACAGAUGGACCCGCGGCGCAUUAGCUAGUUGGUGAGGUAACGGCUCACCAAGGCGACGAUGCGUAGCCGACCUGAGAGGGUGAUCGGCCACACUGGGACUGAGACACGGCCCAGACUCCUACGGGAGGCAGCAGUAGGGAAUCUUCCGCAAUGGACGAAAGUCUGACGGAGCAACGCCGCGUGAGUGAUGAAGGUUUUCGGAUCGUAAAGCUCUGUUGUUAGGGAAGAACAAGUGCCGUUCAAAUAGGGCGGCACCUUGACGGUACCUAACCAGAAAGCCACGGCUAACUACGUGCCAGCAGCCGCGGUAAUACGUAGGUGGCAAGCGUUGUCCGGAAUUAUUGGGCGUAAAGGGCUCGCAGGCGGUUUCUUAAGUCUGAUGUGAAAGCCCCCGGCUCAACCGGGGAGGGUCAUUGGAAACUGGGGAACUUGAGUGCAGAAGAGGAGAGUGGAAUUCCACGUGUAGCGGUGAAAUGCGUAGAGAUGUGGAGGAACACCAGUGGCGAAG